CACGUAGGGCGCAAGCGUUGUCCGGAAUUAUUGGGCGUAAAGAGCUCGUAGGCGGUGUGUCACGUCGUUCGUGAAAACCUGCAGCUUAACUGUGGCGUGCGGUCGAUACGGGCAUCACUGGAGUUCGGCAGGGGAGGCUGGAAUUCCUGGUGUAGCGGUGAAAUGCGCAGAUAUCAGGAGGAACACCGGUGGCGAAGGCAGCAUCCUGGACCGGUAUUGACGCGUGAGGCGCGAAAGCCAGGGAGCAAACGGG
rnacentral:rRNA from 1 species